AUUGAACGCUAGCGGCAUGCCUUACACAUGCAAGUCGAACGGCAGCACGGGUGCUUGCACCUGGUGGCGAGUGGCGAACGGGUGAGUAAUACAUCGGAACAUGUCCUGUAGUGGGGGAUAGCCCGGCGAAAGCCGGAUUAAUACCGCAUACGAUCUACGGAUGAAAGCGGGGGACCUUCGGGCCUCGCGCUAUAGGGUUGGCCGAUGGCUGAUUAGCUAGUUGGUGGGGUAAAGGCCUACCAAGGCGACGAUCAGUAGCUGGUCUGAGAGGACGACCAGCCACACUGGGACUGAGACACGGCCCAGUCUCCUACGGGAGGCAGCAGUGGGGAAUUUUGGACAAUGGGCGAAAGCCUGAUCCAGCAAUGCCGCGUGUGUGAAGAAGGCCUUCGGGUUGUAAAGCACUUUUGUCCGGAAAGAAAUCCUUGGCCCUAAUACGGUCGGGGGAUGACGGUACCGGAAGAAUAAGCACCGGCUAACUACGUG
rnacentral:rRNA from 1 species